GGAUUUGUAGCUUAGUGGUAGAGAACUUGCCUAGCAUGUAAGAGGCCUUGGGUUUGACCCCCACUACCA
rnacentral:tRNA from 1 species